UGGGGAAUAUUGCGCAAUGGGCGAAAGCCUGACGCAGCGACGCCGCGUGAAGGAUGAAGUCUUUCGGGAUGUAAACUUCUGUCAAGAGGGACGAUUGUGACUGUACCUCUAAAGGAAGCUCCGGCUAACUACGUGCCAGCAGCCGCGGUAAUACGUAGGGAGCGAGCGUUAUCCGGAUUUAUUGGGCAUAAAGCGCAAGCAGGUGGUUUCUUAAGUCGGGUGUUAAAGCCUACAGCUCAACUGUAGUUCGCGCUCGAAACUGAGAAACUAGAGGUUAGUAGAGGAAAGCGGAACUCACGGUGUAGCGGUGAAAUGCGUAGAUAUCGUGAGGAACACCAGUUGCGAAGGCGGCUUUCUGGACUGAUCCUGACACUGAGGUGCGAAAGCGUGGGGAGCGAACGGG
rnacentral:rRNA from 1 species